rnacentral:lncRNA from 1 species
CUUGGGUUCUGGUUUAGGCAUGGGCUCAGGCUUUGGUUCCGGUUUAAUUGGCUCAGGCUUCGGUUCCGGCUUAGGCAUUGGCUCGGGCUUGGGCUCAGGUUUUGGCUCAGGUUUAGGCAUUGGCUCGGGUUUGGGCUCAGGUUUAGGCUCAGGUUUAGGCACUGGCUCAGGCUUAGGCUCGGGUUUAGGCUCAGGUUUAGGCACUGGCUUAGGCAUGGGCUCGGGUUUUGGUUCCGGUUUAGGCAUUGGCUCAGGUUUGGGCUCGGGUUUAGGCUCGGGUUUAGGCAUUGGCUUAGGCAUGGGCUCGGGUUUUGGUUCCGGUUUGGGCAUGGGCUCUGGUUUUGGCUCGGGUUUUGGCAUUGGCUUAGGCAUGGGCUCUGGUUUUGGUUCCGGUUUAGGCAUCGGCUCAGGUUUCGGCUCUGGUUUAGGCAUUGGUUUGGGCAUUGGUUCCGGCUUGGGCUCUGGCUUCGGCUCGGGCUUGGGCAUGGGUUCAGGUUUGGGCUCAGGUUUCGGUCCCGGUUUGGGCAUUGGUUCUGGCUUCGGCUCAGGUUUCGGUUCAGGUUUAGGCAUGGGUUCAGGUUUCGGUUCAGGUUUUGGCUCUGGUUUUGGCAUGG